AAGGAACGUCCUUUCCAUCUCUCGAAGUUUCAAUAAUUUGAAUCUAUAAAACACAGUGACAGCAGACAGAUGAACAGGAGGAAAGGCAUAUAAAGGUCUUCACAAACCAUGACAGGUUCUUCUACAGAUACGGUCUCUCCCGUAACAGCCCUUAGCAGAGCAGUGGGAGGAACAGAUACGCUCUGCACAGGAAAGGAUGUCACUGGAAGCUGGCCGGCCACAUUCUGGUGGGAAGGAGAGAGGAGGAGACCCUGUGCACCCCAACACCUGCAACCUGCAUGAGCUCUCCUAUCUGAAAAAUAUUUUUUUUCUUUUCUGUGCCUUAACUGCUAUUUUUAAAAUAGUGCUUGGAUAUUAAAUACAAUAUGUUUUUUACGUUAAGAAAAGUAAAAAAAAUAAGAGCAAACAAUGCACCAACCGAGGCUAACAAGGUUGGCAUUUUGGCAGAGAGUUUGUUUCCUGUGCUCUCCUUGCUUUGGGGUUGAAGUGCUGGCUUUAGGCCAUUGCGCCGUUGUCCUUAGACUGCCCGUGCACAGGGGAACCUCCCACGGGGCUGCGCACACAGUACAUGAGUUUGCUUUGUAUGUUACAAAAUAUUCCCUUACUGUACGUAUAAUCUUUCAAUCAGACAAAGAUUGGUCGUCACUCUUUUUAAGUGUUCAAAACCAACUCACACUGGCGGAGUUUACUGACGCGCGUACUCCACUAGCUCAGGAUGAGGCAGGCUUCAGCUGUGCCUGGACCCAGAGGAUAAGAGUGUCGUCUGGUGAGGUGGCAGCAGCACCGCCAGGUGCACACCCAGCCCAGAGCCGAAGGGGGCGGGGCAGAAGUGCAGCGUCCACUCUGGCUGGUCAGAACCUGGUCGCAGGCCUUUGCCUCCUGUCGCUGGGACCAUCUGGGGAUGACAGGAAGGAGAAAGGAGGUGGAUAACCAGAAGCAACAAACGGUGUGCUUUUGCCUCUCCCCUCACUUGAGUAUUUCGGCGAUUUCACAUUUUUUAUCAUACAUUGUGGUAAAAUGAACACCUGCAUGCCAGAAGGUUUUUUUGCACGAUGAAGAUUCUUUUUUAAAACUGGAAUCCACAGAGUGGGAUCGCUAAGAUAAAGGUGGCCACCUCCCAGAGGAAGAGGAGGACUGUUCUCCCCACAUUGCAACAGUGAAAUAGAUCAUGAGAAGGCUAGAAAAGAUUUUUAAAGUGCAGGGGAGAGAGAGCCACGAUCAACACUUUGGAGUACAGCCUGCUGGUCUUCACUUUAUGAAUCUUAGGAUCUAGAGGUUUUAAAUAGUUGUAAUCCCAUAUCUGUGCAAUUUUAUUUCCUGCUUUUGUUUCUCUCAUUUCCUUGUUCUUAUAAUUAUUUCAUAAGCCUAACUGAGCAUAACAUGCUAGCGUUGCUAACAAAGCUAAACAUAAACAGCUUUCCCUGCAUUUAAUAAUGUUUUCUUAGUGUCUGAAAAUCCACAAGUGUAGGAACAUUCAUAAAGUUCUGAAUAAACAUUAUCAAUAAUAAUGCCUGGCACAAA